UGGGUUGUAGCUCAGUGGUAGAGUGCAUGCCUUGAAUGCAUGAGGCCCUGGGUUCGGUCCCCAGCACCACAU